UACAGAGGUCUCAAGCGUUGUUCGGAUUCAUUGGGCGUAAAGAGCGUGUAGGCGGUUAGGUAGGUCCGUUGUGAAAACUCGAGGCUCAACCUCGAGACGCCGAUGGAAACCAUCUGACUAGAGUCCGGAAGAGGAGAGUGGAAUUCCUGGUGUAGCGGUGAAAUGCGCAGAUAUCAGGAAGAACACCCGUGGCUAAGGCGGCUCUCUAGUACGGUACUGACGCUGAGACGCGAAAGCGUGGGGAGCGAACAGG
rnacentral:rRNA from 1 species